rnacentral:rRNA from 1 species
UACGUAGGGUGCGAGCGUUGUCCGGAAUUAUUGGGCGUAAAGAGCUCGUAGGCGGUUUGUUGCGUCGGCUGUGAAAACCCGGAGCUCAACUCCGGGCCUGCAGUCGAUACGGGCAGACUGGAGUUCGGCAGGGGAGACUGGAAUUCCUGGUGUAGCGGUGAAAUGCGCAGAUAUCAGGAGGAACACCGGUGGCGAAGGCGGGUCUCUGGGCCGAUACUGACGCUGAGGAGCGAAAGCGUGGGGAGCGAACAGG